GAUAUUGGGUUGGUUAUCGGGUC
rnacentral:siRNA from 1 species